UACGUAGGGGGGCGAGCGUUGUCCGGAUUUAUUGGGCGUAAAGAGCUCGUAGGCGGUUUGGCAAGUCGGGUGUGAAAACUCCGGCUCAACUCGGAGACGCCACUCGAUACUGCUAUGACUCGAGUCCGGUAGGGGAGUGCGGAAUUCCUGGUGUAGCGGUGAAAUGCGCAGAUAUCAGGAGGAACACCGGUGGCGAAGGCGGCACUCUGGGCCGGUACUGACGCUGAGGAGCGAAAGCGUGGGGGAGCGAACAGG
rnacentral:rRNA from 1 species